CAGGUCUGAACUGAGCGUUCAGUUACUGGACGUAGACCCGAAACCGGGCGACCGACCCAUGAGCAGGAUGAAGCGAAAGUAAAAGUUCGUGGAGGUCCGAACCCACGAGCGUUGAAAAGCUCGGGGAUGACUUGUGGGUAGCGGUGAAAUUCCAAUCGAGCCCGGAGAUAGCUGGUUCUCCCCGAAAUAGCUUUAGGGCUAGCCGCAAGGUGAGAGAUACGGAGGUAGAGCACUGAAUGUCCUAGGGGGUAUUGCACCUACCGAAGACUAUCAAACUCCGAAUGCCGUCAUCUUAUACUUGGGAGUCAGACUGUGGGUGAUAAGAUUCAUAG
rnacentral:rRNA from 1 species